rnacentral:rRNA from 1 species
GACGAACGCUGGCGGCGUGCUUAACACAUGCAAGUCGAACGGUAAGGCCCCAGCUUGCUGGGGUACACGAGUGGCGAACGGGUGAGUAACACGUGGGUGACCUGCCCCGCACUUCGGGAUAAGCCUGGGAAACUGGGUCUAAUACCGGAUAGGACCGCACCGUGAGGGUGUGGUGGAAAGUUUUUCGGUGUGGGAUGGGCCCGCGGCCUAUCAGCUUGUUGGUGGGGUAAUGGCCUACCAAGGCGGCGACGGGUAGCCGGCCUGAGAGGGUGGACGGCCACAUGGGGACUGAGACACGGCCCAGACUCCUACGGGAGGCAGCAGUGGGGAAUAUUGCACAAUGGGCGGAAGCCGGAGGCAGCGACGCCGCGUGGGGGAUGACGGCCUUCGGGUUGUAAACUCCUUUCACCAUCGACGAAGGUUUUCUGACGGUAGAUGGAGAAGAAGCACCGGCUAACUACGU